CGGGUGAGUAAUAUAUCGGAACGUACCCUAGAGUGGGGGAUAACGUAGCGAAAGUUACGCUAAUACCGCAUACGAUCUACGGAUGAAAGUGGGGGAUCGCAAGACCUCAUGCUCAUGGAGCGGCCGAUAUCUGAUUAGCUAGUUGGUGGGGUAAAAGCCUACCAAGGCGACGAUCAGUAGCUGGUCUGAGAGGACGACCAGCCACACUGGAACUGAGACACGGUCCAGACUCCUACGGGAGGCAGCAGUGGGGAAUUUUGGACAAUGGGGGCAACCCUGAUCCAGCAAUGCCGCGUGAGUGAAGAAGGCCUUCGGGUUGUAAAGCUCUUUUGUCAGGGAAGAAACGGGAUUUUCUAAUACAAAGUCCUAAUGACGGUACCUGAAGAAUAAGCACCGGCUAACUACGUGCCAGCAGCCGCGGUAAUACGUAGGGUGCAAGCGUUAAUCGGAAUUACUGGGCGUAAAGCGUGCGCAGGCGGUUGUGCAAGACAGAUGUGAAAUCCCCGGGCUCAACCUGGGAAUUGCAUUUGUGACUGCACGGCUAGAGUGUGUCAGAGGGGGGUAGAAUUCCACGUGUAGCAGUGAAAUGCGUAGAGAUGUGGAGGAAUACCGAUGGCGAAGGCAGCCCCCUGGGAUAACACUGACGCUCAUGCACGAAAGCGUGGGGAGCAAACAGGAUUAGAUACCCUGGUAGUCCACGCCCUAAACGAUGUCUACUAGUUGUCGGGUCUUAAUUGACUUGGUAACGCAGCUAACGCGUGAAGUAGACCGCCUGGGGAGUACGGUCGCAAGAUUAAAACUCAAAGGAAUUGACGGGGACCCGCACAAGCGGUGGAUGAUGUGGAUUAAUUCGAUGCAACGCGAAAAACCUUACCUACCCUUGACAUGUACGGAACUUACCAGAGAUGGUUUGGUGCUCGAAAGAGAACCGUAACACAGGUGCCGCAUGGCUGUCGUCAGCUCGUGUCGUGAGAUGUUGGGUUAAGUCCCGCAACGAGCGCAACCCUUGUCAUUAGUUGCUACGAAAGGGCACUCUAAUGAGACUGCCGGUGACAAACCGGAGGAAGGUGGGGAUGACGUCAAGUCCUCAUGGCCCUUAUGGGUAGGGCUUCACACGUCAUACAAUGGUACAUACAGAGGGCCGCCAACCCGCGAGGGGGAGCUAAUCCCAGAAAGUGUAUCGUAGUCCGGAUUGUAGUCUGCAACUCGACUACAUGAAGUUGGAAUCGCUAGUAAUCGCGGAUCAGCAUGUCGCGGUGAAUACGUUCCCGGGUCUUGUACACACCGCCCGUCACACCAUGGGAGCGGGUUUCACCAGAAGUAGGUAGCCUAACCGCAAGGAGGGCGCUUACCACGGUGGGAUUCGUGACUGGGGUGAAGUCGGAACAAGGUA
rnacentral:rRNA from 1 species